rnacentral:rRNA from 1 species
CAGGCCUAACACAUGCAAGUCGAACGAAGGCUUCGGCCUUAGUGGCGCACGGGUGCGUAACGCGUGGGAAUCUGCCCCUUGGUUCGGAAUAACAGCUAGAAAUGACUGCUAAUACCGGAUGAUGACGUAAGUCCAAAGAUUUAUCGCCGAGGGAUGAGCCCGCGUAGGAUUAGCUAGUUGGUGUGGUAAAAGCGCACCAAGGCGACGAUCCUUAGCUGGUCUGAGAGGAUGAUCAGCCACACUGGGACUGAGACACGGCCCAGACUCCUACGGGAGGCAGCAGUGGGGAAUAUUGGACAAUGGGCGAAAGCCUGAUCCAGCAAUGCCGCGUGAGUGAUGAAGGCCUUAGGGUUGUAAAGCUCUUUUACCCGGGAUGAUAAUGACAGUACCGGGAGAAUAAGCCCCGGCUAACUCCGUGCCAGCAGCCGCGGUAAU